rnacentral:rRNA from 1 species
GAAGGCAGCAGGCGCGCAAAUUACCCACUCCCGGCACGGGGAGGUAGUGACGAAAAAUAACGAUACGGGACUCAUCCGAGGCCCCGUAAUCGGAAUGAGUACACUCUAAACCCUUUAACGAGGAUCAAUUGGAGGGCAAGUCUGGUGCCAGCAGCCGCGGUAAUUCCAGCUCCAAUAGCGUAUAUUAAAGUUGUUGCGGUUAAAAAGCUCGUAGUCGAAUCUGUGUCUCGCGCCGUCGGUUCAUCGCUCGCGGUGUUAACUGACGUGUCCGCGAGACGUCCUGCCGGUGGGCUUAGCUCCUCGUGGGCGGCCCAAUUUCAAUCCCACCGCGGUGCUCUUCACUGAGUGUCGAGGUGGGCCGGCACGUUUACUUUGAACAAAUUAGAGUGCUUAAAGCAGGCUAAAAUUUUGCCUGAAUACUGUGUGCAUGGAAUAAUGGAAUAGGACCUCGGUUCUAUUUUGUUGGUUUUCGGAACCCCGAGGUAAUGAUUAAUAGGAACGGAUGGGGGCAUUCGUAUUGCGACGUUAGAGGUGAAAUUCUUGGAUCGUCGCAAGACGGACAGAAGCGAAAGCAUUUGCCAAAAACGCUUUCAUUGAUCAAGAACGAAAGUUAGAGGUUCGAAGGCGAUCAGAUACCGCCCUAGUUCUAACCAUAAACGAUGCCAGCUAGCGAUCCGCCGACGUUCCUCCGAUGACUCGGCGGGCAGCUUCCGGGAAACCAAAGCUUUUGGGUUCCGGGGGAAGUAUGGUUGCAAAGCUGAAACUUAAAGGAAUUGACGGAAGGGCACCACCAGGAGUGGAGCCUGCGGCUUAAUUUGACUCAACACGGGAAACCUCACCAGGCCCGGACACCGGAAGGAUUGACAGAUUGAGAGCUCUUUCUUGAUUCGGUGGGUGGUGGUGCAUGGCCGUUCUUAGUUGGUGGAGCGAUUUGUCUGGUUAAUUCCGAUAACGAACGAGACUCUAGCCUGCUAACUAGGCGUAUUUUCGACAUCUCAAAGGCCCGCCUUCCCGGCGCUCUCGCGUCGUGGUCGCGCGCGGUUUUUACUGUCGGCGUACAUUCAAUUCUUCUUAGAGGGACAGGCGGCUUCUAGCCGCACGAGAUUGAGCAAUAACAGGUCUGUGAUGCCCUUAGAUGUUCUGGGCCGCACGCGCGCUACACUGAAGGAAUCAGCGUGUCCUCCCUGGCCGAGAGGCCCGGGUAACCCGCUGAACCUCCUUCGUGCUAGGGAUUGGGGCUUGCAAUUGUUCCCCAUGAACGAGGAAUUCCCAGUAAGCGCGAGUCAUAAGCUCGCGUUGAUUACGUCCCUGCCCUUUGUACACACCGCCCGUCGCUACUACCGAUUGAAUGAUUUAGUGAGGUUUCCGGACCGGUACGCGGUGGCGCUACGCGUCGCCGAUGUUGCUGGAAGAUGACCAAA